rnacentral:rRNA from 1 species
AAAUUGAAGAGUUUGAUCAUGGCUCAGAUUGAACGCUGGCGGCAGGCCUAACACAUGCAAGUCGAACGGUAACAGGAAACAGCUUGCUGUUUCGCUGACGAGUGGCGGACGGGUGAGUAAUGUCUGGGAAACUGCCUGAUGGAGGGGGAUAACUACUGGAAACGGUAGCUAAUACCGCAUAACGUCGCAAGACCAAAGAGGGGGACCCUCGGGCCUCUUGCCAUCGGAUGUGCCCAGAUGGGAUUAGCUUGUUGGUGGGGUAACGGCUCACCAAGGCGACGAUCCCUAGCUGGUCUGAGAGGAUGA